GUCGUAGUAAAUUCUGCGACCGGGUUUGACAGCCUGAAUGUACAUGCGGACAACCGCAGAUAUCCGAUAUUGCGGUAUUUUU
rnacentral:sRNA from 13 species